AUUGAACGCUGGCGGCAGGCCUAACACAUGCAAGUCGAGCGGAUGAAGGGAGCUUGCUCCUGGAUUCAGCGGCGGACGGGUGAGUAAUGCCUAGGAAUCUGCCUGGUAGUGGGGGAUAACGUCCGGAAACGGGCGCUAAUACCGCAUACGUCCUGAGGGAGAAAGUGGGGGAUCUUCGGACCUCACGCUAUCAGAUGAGCCUAGGUCGGAUUAGCUAGUUGGUGGGGUAAAGGCCUACCAAGGCGACGAUCCGUAACUGGUCUGAGAGGAUGAUCAGUCACACUGGAACUGAGACACGGUCCAGACUCCUACGGGAGGCAGCAGUGGGGAAUAUUUGAAAAUGGGCGAAAGCCUGAUCCAGCCAUGCCGCGGGUGUGAAGAAGGUCUUCGGAUUGUAAAGCACUUUAAGUUGGGAGGAAGGGCAGUAAGUUAAUACCUUGCUGUUUUGACGUUACCAACAGAAUAAGCACCGGCUAACUUCGUG
rnacentral:rRNA from 1 species